GAGGCCGGAGAGGAGGGACUCUCUCCCUUAGUCACCAGCCGGGAGGAGUUUACCAGAUGAUUACUCCGGGAUUUAUAUGAUCAGAUUAAGUAGCUGCUUCCUAGUGGGGGGGCGAUAGAUACAUUUCAGUGGAGGAAGGAGAAGGGAGCCACAGCACCUGGGGAGGGAAGAGGAGGAAGGUCCCGGCUCCAAUGCCACUCCUUCCUGAAGCUCCCAAGGAUUCUUCCAAUCCCCAACGAAUGGUCCCUCUCUUAGGCUCCGUCCCGGUCACUUGCCACCUCCUCUUCUUGGGACAUCCAUCUGGCCCUGGCAUUGUAGGUGAUGCCCAGAUCAUCUGCCUCCGCUGAGUGAAUGGAGAAGCCUGGAUUCAGAGGUGACGCGGCUAGCUGACUAAGUAAGCCUCAUCGACGUGGAGGAUUUAGAACUCAAGCUCGGCCUUGGCAGCGUUCUCAUGCUGACGGAGGGUGCGAGCAAC